rnacentral:lncRNA from 1 species
ACUCCUCCAUCCGCCUGUUCUCUGUGCCAGCUGCAUCUGAAACGACACUCGCUGUCGGAGGUGGCUUUCCCUCCACAGGGAGGGCAUUCCCACCGCCGUGGGGGUUUGGCCGUGACUUUUGAAGGAUAUUUUUAUGCAGAAUGUGGUAUUUGAGAAGGAGUGGGCCAAGAAAUGUGAGCCACUGUUCUUUUCAUUUUCUUCCAGGCUCAGCGGCACUUUCUGCCUUUGCAUAAAAGCCAGCACAAUCCUGCCCGAGGUGGUCCACGCCCUGGUGGCUGCGCUAAGUGCUCCCCACACACCGUGUUCAGUCCUUACAGCUGACCUGAGCCCCAGAUGCCUCCUUGUGUGACACCAUCAAGUCCACCAUAAACCAAUGGAUGGAAUAACUCUCAGCAACUUGUCCCUUUCCUCCCCUGCUCCCCUUGGGUAAGAAACUGUGCAAGCUUCAAGAACAGCAGAAAGAAGAGGCAUCUCCAAACCAGUCUUCCUGGCUACUUGGCAGUUCUCCAAGAAGACUUGGCUAGUCUGGGGUAGUAGAUAAUAUCUUUCAGAAAAGCUUCCUGGUAAAAUUGAGUGACUUAUAUACUAGCUAAUCUUUAGACUGCAAAUACAGUAAUUUCUAGGCAUUGUAGUGAGGAUGGAUAGUAAUACGUGGCACUCACACUAAAUACUGAGAAAUCACUGCAGUCACCACUGCUACUGUUACCACCAUUGAGAUAGUAGAAUAGAAGCUUUCUUCACCUGUCUUCACAUCACUGAGCCACUAACCAGUGCUCUCCCCUGCCACUGUAAACAUUCUGUGGCCGCCCACAGUGCUCUGAAAGUUGGAGGCUGGUCAGUGACACCUCAGUGAGCUCUCCCACAUCUGCCUUCAUUCAAUGAGUCAUUUGAUUAACAAGAGUCUGUGGAUUGUUCCCAUGCCUUCUAAUGCCAGUUAUAUUUGUAACUUUAAUUUCAAAAUUCAACUGAAUUACUUACUAUAUAAACUAAAAAACUAUGAGUGUGAAAGCAAGAGAAUAGUUGCUUCUGUGAAAAAUAAGUCAAAUGCUGUGGAAUGACUUGAAAAAUAUGAGUUCCUAAAAAAUAUGCUGAACAAUGCAGUGAGGAAGAAACUACUGUAAAGAUGAAAAAAUACACAAACAAUGAAGGAUUCUGCAUUCAGAUAUCUUUGGAUUUCUCAGCCAAGCAUCAAUGAAUCUUGAAUCUCAGCUGAUGACACUCCUGGGCAAAAUGGCUAUGAAACUGGAAAGAUGUCUAUGAAACACACAGUCCCUCAAGCCAGAAAAUGCACUUGACACAUCUGUGUCCCUUGAGGAACCUGAAGUUUUGGUGAAUCCAGAAAGCCAUGGAUGGCAGAACUGACCACAGAAAAAGAAACAGAGGCUCAGAAAGGUGAAGCCAAUUGCCUGAAGCCACACAGAAUAUCAGCUGGAGUCAGGAUUCUAACACCAUCCCAUGUAGCUGAUGCUAUCUACUGCCAGCCUGGAGCCAGGCUAAGAGGAAGAGAAAGAAGAAAAUGCCUGCAGAAACAUUCUAUGUAAAGAACACUUUGGGAUCAGAAAAAGAAGCGCGCCCGUGUUUCACUUGCAGCCUCACCCUGCACUAGGUAACCCUCCUUCCUCCACUGCACAAUCACUUAGAAACUGUAACUCUUCUUGGGCCCAGGUGCACAGGUAAAUUCGGAUCUUUCCCAAGGGAUCUCUGGGGCCUCGGGUCACAGCAGACCAGAACUUGACCUGGAGGCUGGUGUCCCCCAAACUGCUGUAUGGACCCUGCAACAGCUGGGGAGUCCUCGUCUCAACAGCCCUGCUGUCUCCCACUGAGGUCAUCUGCUGGCCCUCCUGGUGGCCCUGUGAGGAAGCCAGGAGUCACUGAUGCUGCUCUAUCGACGGCGACAGAUGGAUCACAGCUGAUAAGUGACUUGCCCAGAGUUUUGCAGCUUGGAACUCACAGAGCAGAAGCUGGGAAUCAGGUGGGGAAGCACCCAGCUCUCUGCUUCUCCUAAGCCAAGCUCUGCAGCGAGGUCCUGCUUCCCUCGGGACUCCUCUUUCAGCAUGACAUGAACUCAUUUUGAAUGUAAAGGCAAUGUCAAAGCCCUACAGCUAUUUAUACCAGAGCAUGUGUUUAUUAGCUCACUCUCCAGGGGGAAUAUUGCUGUUGUGAAUACACAACUACUCAUAACUACCGUCUUAAAAAUCUUCUCUACCCCAAAAUAUUUACUAAUGUAUUUAAGUAUUUAUUUUCUUGUAGUGAAAGGAAAUCAAGAUAAUUCUAAAAUUGUGGAAGAAAACAAAAAAAGUAUAAAGGAGAAAACAGAAGCUUCACAUAUUCUAACCAUUAUUAAUCUCAAAAUAUUUUAUUCCAGGUCCUUGUCUAUGGUCCAGGUCCUUGUCUAUGGUCCUAUAGCCUAUGCUGAGUGACACUGUGCUAUGUGUAUGCCAUUUGCACUCACCGUGGGGUCAUAAGCGUGCCAUUUCCUUUUUAUUAAAAAAAUACUUUGCAUACAUGAAAGUAUGUUUGCAUUAAAACUAUGCAAACAUCAGUUUUAAUAACUGUAUAAAUAUUCCAUCACAAGGACAUUCCAUAAUUUAUUUAAUCACUUUGGUAGUGUUGGACAUUUAAUUUUUUAAAAAGUCAAAUAAUGCCAGGAUUAAUGCCUGUUUAUAUGAACCAGUUUUCAUUUCCUGAUUAUUUUCUUCGGCCAGAUCCCCAAAAGUGGAAUUACUGAUAAAAGUAGGUGAGUGUUUUUAACACAUUUCUUCUUAUACACACACACACACACACACACACACACACACACCCAUCAACAAAUAGUUUUUCCUGGAAGGAACUUCCAGUAGUGUAUGAGAAAGCCUAUUGCACCACACCAUCCCCAGCAAUGAGAAUUACUACUGUAAAAAAAUCUUUGUUACAUUAAAUUUUUGGAGGACAUCUCA